rnacentral:rRNA from 1 species
CCAGAGAACUUAGCAGAGAUGCUUUGGUGCCUUCGGGAACUCUGAGACAGGUGCUGCAUGGCUGUCGUCAGCUCGUGUUGUGAAAUGUUGGGUUAAGUCCCGCAACGAGCGCAACCCUUAUCCUUUGUUGCCAGCGGCUCGGCCGGGAACUCAAAGGAGACUGCCGGUGAUAAACCGGAGGAAGGUGGGGAUGACGUCAAGUCAUCAUGGCCCUUACGGCCAGGGCUACACACGUGCUACAAUGGCGCAUACAAAGAGAAAGCGACCUCGCGAGAGCAAGCGGACCUCAUAAAGUGCGUCGUAGUCCGGAUUGGAGUCUGCAACUCGACUCCAUGAAGUCGGAAUCGCUAGUAAUCGUAGAUCAGAAUGCUACGGUGAAUACGUUCCCGGGCCUUGUACACACCGCCCGUCACACCAUGGGAGUGGGUUGCAAAAGAAGUAGGUAGCUUAACCUUCGGGAGGGCGCUUACCACUUUGUGAUUCAUGACUGGGGUGAAGUCGUAACAAGGUAAGCGUAGCGAG